AUUGAACGCUGGCGGCAUGCCUUACACAUGCAAGUCGAACGGUAACAGGCCGCAAGGUGCUGACGAGUGGCGAACGGGUGAGUAAUGCAUCGGAACGUGCCCAGUCGUGGGGGAUAACUGCUCGAAAGAGCAGCUAAUACCGCAUACGACCUGAGGGUGAAAGCGGGGGACCGUAAGGCCUCGCGCGAUUGGAGCGGCCGAUGUCAGAUUAGCUAGUUGGUGGGGUAAAGGCCUACCAAGGCAACGAUCUGUAGUUGGUCUGAGAGGACGACCAGCCACACUAGGAGUGGGGCACGGCCCAGACUCCUACGGGCGGCAGCAGUGGGGAAUUUUGGACAAUGGGCGCAAGCCUGAUCCAGCAAUGCCGCGUGCAGGAAGAAGGCCUUCGGGUUGUAAACUGCUUUUGUCAGGGAAGAAAUCUUCUGGGCUAAUACCCCGGGAGGACGACGGUACCUGAAGAAUAAGCACCGGCUAACUACGUGCCAGCCGCCGCCGUAACAC
rnacentral:rRNA from 1 species